rnacentral:misc_RNA from 1 species
CACGCGAACCCCAAGCGUUAUCCGGAUUUAUUGGGCGUAAAGGGUGUGUAGGCGGUUCUGUUAGUCUUUUGUCAAAGCCCCCAGCUUAACUGGGGUCCGGCAAAGGAAACGGCAGAACUUGAGGAUGCGAGAGGUGUACGGAACUCAUGGUGUAGAGGUGAAAUUCGUUGAUAUCAUGGGGAACGCCAAAGGCGAAGGCAGUACACUGGCGCACUCCUGACGCUGAGACACGAAAGCCAGGGUAGCGAACGGG